CGAGAGAGUGGGAACUAUUAUCAGUCGGAAACUCAUAAAGGAAAAGGGGCAGAGAAGGAAUAAAUGAAGAUGUUUGAUCCCCUUGCAAAACUUUUGGCCUUUGAGCUUGAACGUGGAGCUUUACUCCAUCAAGAAUAUGAUUUUCUUGUAGUGCAUUCUGAAGUUCUUCUGAAGAAAACUGAAUCCAACCCAUACCUCUGUGAAAUCCAGUCUCUUUGUCAAAAGAGAGAGACACAGCGAGAGAGGGAAC